rnacentral:rRNA from 1 species
CCUACGGGAGGCUGCAGUCGAGAAUCUUGGGCAAUGCACGAAAGUGUGACCCAGCGACGCCGCGUGAAGGAUGAAGGCCCUUGGGUCGUAAACUUCUUUUAAGGGGAAAGCGGUACCCUUUGAAUAAGCCACGGCUAACUACGUGCCAGCAGCCGCGGUAAUACGUAGGUGGCAAGCGUUGUCCGGAUUUACUGGGCGUAAAGCGAACGCAGGCGGACUAUUAAGUAAGAAGUGAAAGGUUGGAGCUCAACUCCGGCACUGCUCCUUAUACUGGUAGUCUUGAGUCUUGGAGAGGAAAGCGGAACGACACGUGUAGCGGUGAAAUGCGUUGAUAUGUGUCGGAACACCGAUGGCGAAAGCAGCUUUCUGGCAGUACUGACGCUGAGGUUCGAAAGCCAAGGGAGCGAACAGGAUUAGAUACCCUUGUAGUC